rnacentral:rRNA from 1 species
AUGGAGGCUCAAGAUCCCUCUUCAGCAGCAGCAGCUCCCCUGGACCUGUCUCUCACGCUAGCCCCCAUGUCUCUUUGGGCUGCUCAUCCUUCUGGCGGUGGCGGUCGCCGCCGCAGUGGUGGCGGCACGACAUCGAGGCUCUUCUCUUGCCUAUUCUGUGAGAGGAAGUUCUUCAAGUCGCAGGCACUAGGAGGCCACCAGAAUGCGCACAGGAAGGAGAGGGUGGUCGGCAGCUGGAACCCGCACCUCUACCUCCCUGACCAUCAUGGUGACGCCGCGCUGACCACUGCAACGGCGCGCCUUAAAAGCAACGACGACCACAAGCUGCAGGAGCUUGAUCUUAACCUCAAGCUUUGA